AGAGUUUGAUCCUGGCUCAGGAUGAACGCUGGCGGCGUGCCUAACACAUGCAAGUCGAGCGAGAAAUAAAGGAAUGAAGCUUCGGUAGAUUUUCUUUAUGGAAAGCGGCGGACGGGUGAGUAACGCGUAGGCAACCUGCCCUGUACAGGGGGAUAGCCACCCGAAAAGGUGAUUAAUACCCCAUAACACAAGAGAUACACAUGUAUCACUUGUCAAAGAUUUAUCGGUAUAGGAUGGGCCUGCGUCUGAUUAGCUAGUUGGUAGGGUAACGGCUUACCAAGGCAACGAUCAGUAGCCGACCUGAGAGGGUGAUCGGCCACAUUGGAACUGAGACACGGUCCAAACUCCUACGGGAGGCAGCAGUGGGGAAUAUUGCACAAUGGGCGCAAGCCUGAUGCAGCAACGCCGCGUGAAGGAUGAAGGCCUUCGGGUUGUAAACUUCUGUCCUAGGGGAAGAAACAAAUGACAUUACCCUUGGAGGAAGCCCCGGCUAACUACGUGCCAGCAGCCGCGGUAAUACGUAGGGGGCGAGCGUUAUCCGGAAUUAUUGGGCGUAAAGAGUGCGUAGGUGGCACCUUAAGCGCAGGGUUUAAGGCAAUGGCUCAACCAUUGUUCGCCUUGCGAACUGGGGUGCUUGAGUGCAGGAGGGGAAAGUGGAAUUCCUAGUGUAGCGGUGAAAUGCGUAGAUAUUAGGAGGAACACCAGUGGCGAAGGCGACUUUCUGGACUGUUACUGACACUGAGGCACGAAAGCGUGGGGAGCAAACAGGAUUAGAUACCCUGGUAGUCCACGCCGUAAACGAUGAGCACUAGGU
rnacentral:rRNA from 1 species